UGAGCUACGCGCCAGGCUCCAGCUGGUGUGACACACAUAUGACUGUGAUUAGGCGGCUUUUUCUUGGGGGGGUUGGACGCGCCGGGACGAGCGGGAGGGCUCGUGCUUGCCCAAUCGGAACAUUGCAUGAGGCAACUAUCAGCCCUUUUGCUCAAUAUCUGCGUUGCAGAUUGCGAAAUAGCAACAUGCCCGCAAAACUGUAUACAAACAAAUGAGAAAUUUUCUGCGACAGACUGAAGGACUCUGAUCUCAUUUUUGAAACAUUUUGUCCUGCUGCUUUGUCCAGACUUUGACUGGACUGUUUUUUAAACGCCUCGUGAUAUCAGCAAGGACAAACAAGCAAACUCCGCAGCCUGGUCGGAAGGAUAAGGAAUGAAGGGGAAAUGGAGGCCAUUCUUCUCCUCGGCUGAUGGCAAUUGUGUAGGAAUACGAGCAGCCGUCAGCCCCCAACAAUGACCACAAAGGCCAACGGGACGCGACGGAGGACGUCACAGGACAGUUUUUGUUUUCUCUCGAUGCCCGAUAAACAGAAUUUGCCGGAACUUUUGCCUUAAAUAUACCUUUCUCGACUUGUUCAUGAAUUCUAGACAUACAGUAUCUGCGUGAAUGUUUUGCAGGACGAAAAGGUCAUCUAAUGACCCUGCUCUUGGUAUGCAGCCCACCUUCAAUGUGACCUCCAUUCUGACUCAAUACCUCUUUCAAAACAGACAAAGAGCAGCAGGGUUGCUGUGUCCUUCGGGUCGCUUCUCAAAAGCUGCAAGAGCUUCAUGGCGAGAACCAGCUGGUUCCGAUGGUUGGUCAAAGCCUCACGAUAGUUUCCCUUGGAGAAGAAUGCCGAGCCUAAAUUCCCAUGAGCACGGCAUUCCCCUGUUUGGUCACCUGGAGACGAAUGGGAUUCAUUAUCCUCAGGGCAGCGGGCGAUUGCAACGGCAACACUGUUUCCGAACAUUUCUAGCCAGCGGUGUUGAACCGUAAUGUGAGCCUUGGGGGGGGGGAUGUUGCACAUUCUCUCUCCACCGUAGAAUGGUUUCCCUGACAUCUAGUAGUGUUAAACUCACCUCUCCCCGGUUUGAGAUGGAAACCACUUAUUUCAUCUUAACGGAGGGGCUUCGCUGACACGUAGCGAGAAAAGUGCAAGUGCCCGUGAGCUACCUGAGAAUCCCACUUCCACAUUUGCAAAGGCUUUGCUAAGGCAUGCAAGAUUUUUACAGUCGAGGGAGCAGUCUGAAUUUAAGUCGGUGUAGUUCCACGUUGUGCAACGACAUGCUGAAGUCUGCUGGAAGACAAGCAGCGUCAUUGAAAGCAAGAAAAAGGGCCAACGAAGGUCACCAAGUGCACUUCAGUCAUGACAGUUGUUCCCACAGAGUGGAGAGACUAUAUGCCUGGAAGUACUACUGCAUGCCUUGCUUUGUGUGUUACUGUUGGACGUCUACAUUUACCAUAACACCAACUAUUAUUUCCAUUAGCCCAUCUAUGGCGUUUUGCAUUACAUGUUAAUGUUAAAGGGGAAAUCCAAUGGUUUGCUUUAUGUAUCCAAUAGGUCACGUAAUACGUACCCUGUCAAAUCCUCUCUCAUUUAAUACUGUUUUGAGAAGAACAAUUACGAAUUUUCGCGAGUCACAUGACCUACGUGGGCGUAUGUGACGUGUUACGUGGUGUUCUAAACGCUCGAUUACAUGCGACACCAUUAUGCCCAGCGCGUGCCCUACGGAGGAAUACUUCCAUACAGAUUUGAACCUGUGGGUGUAAAUAAUGUCAGGAGCUCGCUCGGCCAGGGAGCGCGGAGCGAGCUCGUCAGAUUCCACCGUCAUUCCACCCGAAGAAACAUCCGAAUAUUCAACAUUAUUUACAGCCACAGGUUCAAAUCUGUAUGGAAGUAUUCCUCCGUCUUCCCGAUGAACCGAGUGAACGAGCCGCUCACGGCUGCGUAUGGAAGUAUUCCUCCAUCUUGGGUUAGAUGGAUAAAUCCGAGAAAUCAGCGCUGGGCUUAAAUAGUGUCCCAUGUAAUCGAGCGUUUGGAACGGCACGUAACACGUCACAUACGCCCUCGUAGGUUAUGUGAAUCGCGAAAAUGGCAGCGCCCCUGAAAAUUAUUGCCUCUCUUUUUAUGUGUCAGUUUUCAAUAACUGUCAACUGUAUGACAGCUAAACAAAACACCCAAAUCAUUAAGGACAUGCU